AGAAGGUGAUGGCAGUAGUGUCCUCACAGAAGAGGGCAUGGCUGAGCUUUCCAAGAGGAUAACAGGAGUUUGUAAGGGAACCAAGCAGAGAAAGGACAUUCUGGGAAGCAGCAGGUGAUGAGGCAAAGCCAAGAGAAUGAGCCAUCACCUUCAGAGAACUAACAGCAGUUCGGCGUGGCUGGGGCAUGGAAGGGAGAGUGAGUGGAAAUGAGGCUGGAGAGAACCAUGGAACCAGACCUUGACAAGGCUUGAGAGCUUUACAAGAAACCUAGACUCGAUCCUAUGGGCAACACGAAGCCACCGGAGAGGGAACCAGUCUGUUCUGUGCAGGCCUGCCAUCUGAUCCUUUCCUCACUGCUGACCUUACCCAGGAAGUACCCCUGUCCAUGUCAGUAUGACCUAUGCCUGGACCACCCAGCAUCCAGAACCCUGCCCUGUCUCUGGCCCAUGUGGCUCCUAAUGCCCAGCCUACCCGUCUGUCCUUUCCCCACCAAGGGGCCUUGGUUAGAGUACAGAAUAUGUGUGCUGCUCCUCUGCCUGACAGCAAGGCCCUAAUAAACUCUGAAAAGCCCUCCCAUUGGAUCCUGCACUAAUUACAACAAACAGAAUUCUUAACACAUUGCCAGGCUUCCCAGGAAGGAAAAAAAAA